CGAACCGGUUUCGUUCUUAUAUUUCAGUGUAUAAACUACAAAAACAUUCGUUUGCAUUAUACAUUCGCCAUUUUACUCUGCAACUGCCCGGUCGCCGUGUGUUAUCUCUCCGAAAAACAGCCCGUUUUUACGGUUAUUUUUGUGAGCUUUCCGUUCAUUCCCAGGCAACAACAUGGUCAAAUCGAAGAAGAAUGCGGCCCUUGGGGAAAGAAGAACUUCCAUAAGGCUGGCAAACAAACCUAAACCUGCUCAGGUGGAGAAGAAGAAGGCCGUAAAGAAGGCAGCCAAACCGAAGAAGACCAAAGCCGAAAAUGGAGGCGCCAAGGCUCAGGAGGCAAAGACUGACGCCACUGAAGCCAAAUGAAUAACAGUUGAUGUACUCACUCUGUGUACUUGGUGAUUGUACAGUUUUAAAAUAAGUAUUUUUUACCAAGUUUUAUAUUACAAAUGUCAUUUAUAGGUUUGUUUUGGGCUUGCACUUGAUGUAACAAAACUAUGUUGUCACAUUCAUAUCCAUUUAAAAUGAUACCGUCCAUAUCUUGUAGACGUGGCAUUUUUAGUUUAGUCUAAUUCUGCUGAGUGAUAGAUAUUUUCCAAGAAGUUGGACUUUGAUUCUAAUUUUAAACAUUAUAAGGCAGCUAAAGCAUAUUGUUAAAAUAUGGGGGAGAACAGGAAUUUUGCCUAUUUAUCUCCUUUAUAUUUUAAUGUUGAACUAAUAAGAAAUUGCUUACCAAAUGUUUUGAAGCACUGUAUGUUGACAUGAGAUCUAGUCAUUGAGAAUGCCACAGCAAAAAUACUGUUAUUAGGUCAAAAAGUUUGAUACAACCCAAAAAACAUGUAAGAUGUGAACCUGGUCAUCUAAUGAAACGUUAAGUUAUGUUUCUGUUAGAAGAAAAGGAAGCUUUUCUGACUUCAAUGGUUGAUCUAAAUGUUCUUGAAUAAAAAUUUGCAAAAUGUC